rnacentral:rRNA from 1 species
CAGCCGCCGCGGGAAUACGUAGGGUGCAAGCGUUAUCCGGAAUUAUUGGGCGUAAAGAGCUCGUAGGCGGUUUGUCGCGUCUGCUGUGAAAACUGGAGGCUCAACCUCCAGCCUGCAGUGGGUACGGGCAGACUAGAGUGCGGUAGGGGAGAUUGGAAUUCCUGGUGUAGCGGUGGAAUGCGCAGAUAUCAGGAGGAACACCGAUGGCGAAGGCAGAUCUCUGGGCCGUAACUGACGCUGAGGAGCGAAAGCAUGGGGAGCGAACAGGAUUAGAUACCCCAGUAGUCCCUGUCUCUUAUAC